UCUCCAUUCUGUCAGCCACGUUUAAGGAGGUGGUGGAGGCGGCAGUCUAUCUAACACCCUCCACACAGGAAGAAAGGAUUGCAAAGUGCUACUGAGUAAAUGAACAUCACUCACAUGGAAAUGCACUGGACGAGAUCAUACAUGUUAAGACAGUUAACAGACAGAAACAUGACCACAAUAUCUGUUUUACUCUUCACAUGGCGUUCUCUGUAAAGCCACACUAUUUGCUUAGAUUGUUUGAAGAAGGCACUUUCAGAUGUGUUCCAGAGGCUGGGCACCUUGAUCUGGAUCAAACGCUGCCAAUUGUUGGUUGAAGCUUCACAGUAUCCUUGAAAAUCAACAGCUUUGCAGCCAUGAUAGCUAUGAAAACUAGCAGCCUAGCAGCCACUGGAGGGGACAGGUCAGGUAUGAAGCUCCCCCAAAAUUCCCAUUCCCAGAGAAUGGUCACUAUUCAACCUGUCUGAAAGUUCCUUAAGAAAGCUCCAUUCUUAGAGUUUGUCUUUAUUUGCCUUGACUUAAAGCUCAUUUGGUGGGAAUAGCCCUGACCCCAGCUAAUUUUUUGAAAUAAUCAGCAAAAAAGCUUUCAGAAUAGUGACACUAAUUGAAACUAAGAAAAGAAUGACCAAAAAUUUCAUAGGAAAGACUGGAUAAUGAGAUGUGUUUAGGGGGGUUUGAAAAGCUCUGAUAGAUUUCUGGUAAUCUAGAAGGCCGUGCACAUAUACAGGGCUGUGCACGUUCCCAGAAAAGACCUGAGAAGCCCCUAAUCUCUCAUCUCUAGUUGACUUUGAGGUUCUGUGCCAGCUGGAUGUGAAGGCUAAGGCAGAGUUGUAAACUGCCUGGUAGAACAUUGAAGACAUACCUUAAUACACACACAUAGUCCUUUGGCAGUCGCUGGGAGACUUAUUGGCUCAAGGCAUUUAAGGAAAUCUGUUCAAUCAUUAGGUAAUUGGUAAGUUAACUGAGCACAGACUUCUGUGGAUGCAGUGAGAGAUAACACAGAAUUUACAGAAUUAGUCCAGGAAAGUCACUAAACAAACAGCAGCUGCAAUAAUAAAGGGCAUCAACAACAGACCUUAGAGAGGAGGGAGGAAUAUGAGUUCCAGAACUGCCACACUAUAUUCCUUAAAAUGUAUAGCAUUCAACAAGAAGUUAGGAGACAUGUAAAUAAAAAGCAAAGUAUGGCCCAUACACAGGAAAAAAGGAAGUCAAUAGAAACUGUCCAUGGAUGUUGGACUUCCUAGACGAAGACUUUAAACCAUCUAUCAUAAGUAUGUUCAAGUUACUAUAGGAGACAUGUCUAAAGAAUUAAGGGAAAGUAUGAAAAUAAUGUUUUGGCAAAUAGAGAAUGUUAACAAAGGAUAUAAAUGAUUUAAACGUACAAAAUCGGAAUUGUGGAGUUGAGCAGUGUAAUAGCUGUGAUAAAAA